rnacentral:rRNA from 1 species
UUAUCAAACUCCGAAUGCCAUAUACUAUCAGGUCGGCAGUCAGACUAUGAAAGAUAAGUUCCAUGGUCAAAAGGGAAACAGCCCAGAUCGUCAGCUAAGGUCCCAAAGUGUAAGUUAAGUGGAAAAGGAUGUGGGAUUUCUAAGACAACUAGGAUGUUGGCUUAGAAGCAGCCAUUCAUUAAAAGAGUGCGUAAUAGCUCACUAGUCGAGAGAUCCUGCGCCGAAGAUGUCCGGGGCUCAAACUUACCACCGAAGCUACGGGUUCACACUUAUGUGUGAGCGGUAGAGGAGCGUCGUAAUCGGGCUGAAGUCGUACCGUAAGGAGCGGUGGACUGGUUACGAGUGAGAAUGUUGGCAUCAGUAGCGAGAUGUGGGUGAGAAUCCCACAGGCCGAAAACCUAAGGUUUCCUCAGGAAGGUUCGUCCGCUGAGGGUUAGUCGGGACCUAAGCCGAGGCCGAAAGGCGUAGGCGAUGGACAAUCGGUUGAUAUUCCGAUACCACUACUGAUCGUUAUUAUCGAUGGUGUGACGGAGAAGGAUAGAGUGUGCUAGCUAUUGGAUGCUAGUCUAAGCGUUUAGGGAGUUAGGAAAGGCAAAUCCGUCCUAACAAUUCUGAGGCGUGAUGGGGAAGGUUCUACGGAACCGAAGUAUCUGAUUCCAUGCUUCCAAGAAAAGCAUCUAGGGAGAGAAGUAGUGCCCGUACCGCAAACCGACACAGGUAGGUGAGGAGAGAAUCCUAAGGCCGGCGGAAGAAUUACAGUUAAGGAACUCGGCAAAUUGACCCCGUAAGUUCGCGAGAAGGGGUGCCUACGAGAGUAGGCCGCAGAGAAUAGGCCCAAGCAACUGUUUAGCAAAAACACAGGUCUCUGCUAAAGCGUAAGCUGAUGUAUAGGGGCUGACGCCUGCCCGGUGCUGGAAGGUUAAGGGGAACACUUAGCGCAAGCGAAGGUGUGAACUUAAGCCCCAGUAAACGGCGGCCGUAACUAUAACGGUCCUAAGGUAGCGAAAUUCCUUGUCAGGUAAGUUCUGACCCGCACGAAUGGCGUAAUGACUUGUGCACUGUCUCAACUGCAAAUCCGGCGAAGUUGUAGUGCGAGUGAAGAUGCUCGCUACCCGCGAUUGGACGGAAAGACCCCGUAGAGCUUUACUGUAGCUUAGCAUUGAAUUUCGGUAUUGUCUGUACAGGAUAGGUGGGAGACUGGGAAAUCAGGGCGUCAGCCUUGAUGGAGUCGUUGUUGGGAUACCACCCUGAUAGUAUUGAAAUUCUAACUGGAUGCCAUGAAUCUGGUGACAGGACAUUGUUAGGUGGGCAGUUUGACUGGGGCGGUCGCCUCCUAAAAAGUAACGGAGGCGCCCAAAGGUUCCCUCAGAACGGUCGGAAAUCGUUCGAAGAGUGCAAAGGCAGAAGGGAGCCUGACUGCGACACCCACAAGUGGAGCAGGGACGAAAGUCGGGCUUAGUGAUCCGGUGGUACCUCGUGGGAGGGCCAUCGCUCAACGGAUAAAAGCUACCUCGGGGAUAACAGGCUGAUCUCCCCCAAGAGUCCACAUCGACGGGGAGGUUUGGCACCUCGAUGUCGGCUCGUCGCAUCCUGGGGCUGAAGUAGGUCCCAAGGGUUGGGCUGUUCGCCCAUUAAAGCGGCACGCGAGCUGGGUUCAGAACGUCGUGAGACAGUUCGGUCCCUAUCCGUCGCGGGCGUAGGAAAUUUGAGAGGAGCUGUCCUUAGUACGAGAGGACCGGGAUGGACUGACCUAUGGUGUACCAGUUGUUUCGCCAGAAGCAUUGCUGGGUAGCUAAGUCGGGAAGGGAUAAACGCUGAAAGCAUCUAAGUGUGAAGCCCACCUCAAGAUGAGAUUUCCCAUAGCAUAAGCUAGUAAGACCCCUUGAAGACUACAAGGUUGAUAGGUCAGAGGUGUAAGUGCGGUAACGUAUUUAGCUGACUGAUACUAAUAGGUCGAGGGCUUGACCAA